rnacentral:rRNA from 1 species
UACGUAGGGUGCAAGCGUUAUCCGGAAUUAUUGGGCGUAAAGAGCUCGUAGGUGGUUUGUCGCGUUGUUCGUGAAAACUCACAGCUCAACUGUGGGCGUGCGGGCGAUACGGGCAGACUUGAGUACUGCAGGGGAGACUGGAAUUCCUGGUGUAGCGGUGGAAUGCGCAGAUAUCAGGAGGAACACCGAUGGCGAAGGCAGCUCGCUGGGACGGUACUGACGCUGAGGCGCGAAAGCGUGGGGAGCAAACAGG